CUCCGGCCGGCGUCGACUCCGACGUCGGCCGUACUUCUCUUUCUUCUCUUCUGUUUUCUUUUCCUUUAUAGUUUUUAGUUUUCCAUAUAAAAUCUCAAUCGGAGACGCGAUUGUAUGUGCGAGUAUCACCAAAUCUUCAGUUUCUCUUGCUUGGCCCUUUCUCAUUCGAAAUGGUUUCGUAUGGCAGCGUCAGUGAUAGGUUUUUGGUGAUAGGUUUGUCUGGCAGCGUAGGACAUGGCGAUCUGGAUAUGAGAAUGUCAUUGUUAACAAAUCCAUGGUUGGGUUUUUCUCAAUUCUGGGUCUCUACAUCGAUAGCCGACGCUACUUCGAUUCUCGCUAUCAGAGGAUCGCCAACGACUUCUUUGAUUCGAGAUGUAUAAUACGAUGGGAUUACACUAGUACGAAGUCAA